rnacentral:lncRNA from 1 species
UAUUGUUCAAGCUGCAGUGUCUGUCUUAGAAUCAGCAAGUCGGCGUUUACUCGAUGCACAACUUCCCACCUUGGAAUCUCAAAUUGAUCACGUUGCAAUAAAACAAAAGUUAACAAAAAGAUAUAUCUGCGUUUGUUUUAUUGCAUGCAUUGCUUUGGCUAUUUUAAGUAGCGUUUUACUUUACCAAAUUUUUGCACCUGGAACAAGUUUUCAAUACUUUCUUUGUAAACAAGGAAGACUAAGAGGAUCUGCAUCUUUUCAGUAUAUUCCACCAAUUAAUACUCGUGUUUAUCCUCAGGUUAGAGGUAUUGAAUUUGAGUUCUCAGUUCUCAUGCAGAAGAUAUCUAACACUGGUUAUAAACGAUUAAAUAU